CUUGGACAUAUCAUCCCAAUCUACUACCAUUGUCCAUCAAAUAUUUGGAGGCUUUCUGAGAUCCAGAGUCAUCUGCUUCAGCUGCAAAGCCAUUUCUGAUUCCUAUGAGGCCUUCCUGGAUGUCCCUUUGGAUAUCAAAGCAGCCUCAUCCCUCACUGCAGCUCUGGAGGACUUUGUAACACCUGAGCACCUGGAUGGUGAAAACUGCUUUAAAUGUAGCAAGUGUGAGAAGAAUGUUGCCGCCACUAAGAGGUUCACUGUCCACUGUGCACCCAAGGUUCUCACUGUGUGUCUGAAGAGGUUUGACUGCUUCACUGGUGGGAAGAUCAGCAAGGUGUGUACACUAUUGGUGUGCAGCUUU